GGUCUGCAACUCGACCACACGAAGACUGGAAUCGCUAGUAAUCGCGAAUCAGCAUGUCGCGGUGAAUACGUUCCCGGGUCUUGUACACACCGCCCGUCACACCAUGGGAGUCAGCAACGCCCGAAGUCAGUGACCUAACCGAGAGGAAGGAGCUGCCGAAGGCGGGGCAGGUAACUGGGGUGAAGUCGUAACAAGGUAGC
rnacentral:rRNA from 1 species